GUGCCGCGGUUUUCCCCAGAGGCAGUGAAAGAGCAGCUGAUGACCUCUAUAUUGAAAACUGGGAGGAACUUGACACGUCCUGAAGAUGCGUCACUGUUUCUCACCACCUGAGUAUUAUUAAGUAACUGAUACUGUGGGUCCAAGGAGGAGCCAGGCCUCUGGUAAGAUGACAUCUCAAUGUGAAGACUGCAUUUCCCAGAGGACAUAAGCGGAAAUAAUAUGCACAACUUCUAAGUUUUGUCCUAACAUGGAAAAGGCAUACCCUUCACUUCCACCUUCCCCCUUUCUGCUAUAAUGGAUGUGGGUGUGGUGGUAAGUCAUCUUGAACCAUCUGGAUGAGGGCAACACUGUACGGAUGGCAGAGAAGAUACAAGGAAAGGAUCCUGCAUUCCUCUGAAACCUCUCCCCUGUUUGAGUGGACCAUCCUAGGACAGCCGUUCUGUGUGAUCCAGCAAUGGGUGCCUCCAAACAAGAAAACUCUAUGCAACAUAAGCCCAAACAUUUGGGAAGCCACAAAAAGAGCCCAGGAAGUUCAGGGAUGUAUCCUGUUUUUUCCAUGCAAGAAACUAAAGAUGGGUAAUAAGGAGGAGAAUGAGAAGCCUGGAAUCAAGCAGAAUUUUAAAAUCAUGAUGCAAGCAGCAUUUUAA
rnacentral:lncRNA from 1 species